UGGCUGUGUUACACUUUAUGGCUACUGGGAGCUUCCAGGCUGUGGCAGGCGACGUCAUUGGUAUCUCACAGCCCACCUUUUCCAGAUAUUUGAUGCAGGUGAGUCUAAAAAUACAUAGGCGGUUAUGUCUAAGUGUUGCUUCUGUAAGUUCAAACAACACAGUAUUGUAGAGAAUACCUAACAUGACACUCACCUUAGCUUCUUUAAUGUCCACUCAGGUUUUGGAUGUGUUGGAGCCACACAUUAAUGCCUCAAUCUGCUUCCCUACCGAGGAGUCGGAGUGGAGUGCUGUCAGGGUAGCUUUCUAUGAGCUUGCUGGCAUGCCCAAUGUGCUGGGGGCCAUAGAUUGCACACACGUUCAGCUGAGAUCACCUAAGGGCCGCCAAUAUAUAUAUACUAAUAGACAUCUGUCCCAAUCAACUAAUGUCCAGGUGGUCUGUGAUGCAAACUUAAAAAUUAUGAGUGUUGUUGCAGGUUACCCUGGUGGCUGCCAUGACUCCUUCAUCCUCAGUCAGUCAUCGCUCUUCGAUAAAUUUGAGGACGGACAAAUGCCUGAUGGCUGGCUGUUGGGUAUGUUUAAAAUGUUUUGUGUGUAUGUCUUUUAUCCACAAACUCGAGUUAUGAUUAGGUGAAAGAAUAAUCUAACAUAUGUACUAAUGUGGACUAUAUCUGUUUUUCAGGUGAUGGGGGUUACGGCUGCUACUCUUGGCUCCUUACUCCAUUGUCCCAACCUGAUUCUCCUGCUGAACACAGUUACAAUCAUGCACAUAAGGCUACGCGGAAUGUGAUAGAAAGAUGUUUUGGUGUGCUGAAGUCACGGUUUCGGUGUCUGGAUAAAUCUGCUGGCCUUUUGUUGUAUAGUCCCUCAAAGAUAACUGAGGGGAUCGGGGCUCAUCACUCUGCGAACUCGCCAAUAGUGCCAGUGGUGGCUGGGGUGACACUGCCGAAAGUCGUCGCCUGGGUGGGGAUGAUGGAGCCGCAGAUUCCGAGCCAAGACGCCGUGUCUUACUUGGCCUCCUGGAAUAUGUGACUACACUGAAGUCUUACCUGCAAUCCCAGCCUCAUCCUGACUUGUCUGAGGCCUGUCUGGCCGGCUGGUCUGUGGGACUGUUGAAAAAGUGUACCAAACAUUAUUACCAUGCUUUAUGUAAAAAAAAACCCCUGCAAAGCCUUAUUGUACUGUAACCAUCUAUUAGGUAUUGGAUAAACAAAUAAUUUCUGAUUAAGAGCUUCAAGCUUCAUUAUUUUGUGGUGUAUAUCCAAAUGUACAUGAUGUUGC